UACGAAGGGGGCUAGCGUUGCUCGGAAUCACUGGGCGUAAAGGGUGCGUAGGCGGGUCUUUAAGUCAGGGGUGAAAUCCUGGAGCUCAACUCCAGAACUGCCUUGAUACUGAAGAUCUUGAGUUCGGGAGAGGUGAGUGGAACUGCGAGUGUAGAGGUGAAAAUUCGUAGAUAUUCGCAAGAACACCAGUGGCGAAGGCGGACUCACUGGCCCCGAUACUGACGCUGAGGCACGGAAAGGCGAUGGGGAAAGCCAAAG
rnacentral:rRNA from 1 species